rnacentral:rRNA from 1 species
UGUAGCAAUACAUUGGCGGCGACCGGCGCACGGGUGCGUAACACGUAUGGAACUUACCCUUUACUGGGAGAUAGCCCGGAGAAAUCCGGAUUAAUAUCCCAUAAUAAACGAGGUGGCAUCACUUUGUUUUGAAAGCUCCGGCGGUAAAGGAUGGCCAUGCGCACGAUUAGCUAGUAGGUGAGGUAACGGCUCACCUAGGCUACGAUCGUUAGGGGGCCUGAGAGGGUUAUCCCCCACACUGGUACUGAGACACGGACCAGACUCCUACGGGAGGCAGCAGUGAGGAAUAUUGCGCAAUGGAGGCAACUCUGACGCAGCCAUGCCGCGUGCAGGAAGAAGGCGCUACGCGUUGUAAACUGCUUUUAACCGGGAAGAAACCCCAGGACGUGUCCUGGGUUGACGGUACCGGAGGAAUAAGCACCGGCUAACUUCGUGCCAGCAGCCGCGGUAAUACGAAGGGUGCAAGCGUUAUCCGGAUUCAUUGGGUUUAAAGGGUGCGUAGGCGGGGCGUUAAGUCAGUGGUGAAAUCUUGCAGCUCAACUGUAAACUUGCCAUUGAUACUGACGCUCUUGAGUGCGCUUGAAGUAGGCGGAAUGUGUCGUGUAGCGGUGAAAUGCUUAGAUAUGACACAGAACACCGAUUGCGAAGGCAGCUUACUAAGGCGAUACUGACGCUGAGGCACGAAAGCGUGGGGAUCAAACAGGAUUAGAUACCCUGGUAGUCCACGCCGUAAACGAUGAUCACUCGUCAUUGGCGAUACACAGUCAGUGACCUAGCGAAAGCGUUAAGUGAUCCACCUGGGGAGUACGAUCGCAAGAUUGAAACUCAAAGGAAUUGACGGGGGCCCGCACAAGCGGUGGAGCAUGUGG